rnacentral:tRNA from 1 species
GUGGCUGUAGCUCAGCCUGGUUAGAGCCCCAGACUGUGGAUCUGGUUGUCGCGGGUUCGAAUCCCGUCAGCCACCCCA